UAGGGAAUAUUGCGCAAUGGGCGAAAGCCUGACGCAGCAAUACCGCGUGAGUGAGGAAGGUCCUCGGAUUGUAAAGCUCUGUCAGGGUAGAAAAAUGGCACAUUUUCGAAUAGGGGAUGUGUUUGAUGGUAUACCCAAAGGAAGCACCGGCUAACUUCGUGCCAGCAGCCGCGGUAAUACGAAGGGUGCGAGCGUUGUUCGGAUUUAUUGGGCGUAAAGCGCGUGUAGGCGGAUUUUUAAGUCAGGUGUGAAAUCUCGGGGCUCAACCCCGAAAUUGCGCCUGAAACUGAAGAUCUAGAAUCUCGGCGGGGGAAGGGGAAUUUCGCAUGUAGGGGUAAAAUCCGUAGAGAUGCGAAGGAACACCAGAGGCGAAGGCGCCUUCCUGGACGAGUAUUGACGCUGAGGCGCGAAAGCGUGGGGAGCGAACAGG
rnacentral:rRNA from 1 species